GAUUCCUAUAGCUCAGUCAGCAGAGCAUGAGACUUAAUCUCAAGGUCAUGGGUUCGAGCCCCACGUUGGCCA
rnacentral:tRNA from 1 species